GGGGAACAGAAAUGAGCAAACAGAAAAGGGGCAAAAGAGCUGCUUUCAUCACUAGCACAUCCGAUAUCGCAUUCACACCAGUACCUCCAAAGGCUGCGUGGUCCCUUCAUUUCCCUUACUCUGAAAGAAUGACAAGGAAAGUAUAACCAUUCAUUCACUGUCCUUUGCUCUCUGCAGUUUGACCCUGAACUUUUGUCUUUGGUCUGCAUGCUGCUUCAUUUUUUAGCACGUUAACUAAGCAUGAUCUCAGUUAAUAAGUAACUCUCAGGUGACUAAUUGCAGAGUCCUUAAAGAGGAGCCUAGAAAGGAUCCUAAAACAUUGUUGACCUAAUCAAAUUCAUCCUCUUUUUCAUUCAUAAAAUUUUACUACUGUUCCCACUUUGGUAUCAGGGAAAAAGUUGCUAAAUGCACUACUGUUCUUCACCCAUUAGAUAGUUAUGGACAAGAGAGAAAGCAGAGGAAUAAUCUAACAAAGGAAAAUAUUAGGGGUAAUGUUUUAAAGAACAAAUGUAUUGAGGUUUUCCAGGUUAUGUAAAGUUUCUAAAGAAACUUGGAAGGACUCUAAUCCUCAAAUGUCAAAUACCUCCACUACCACAUAUAUGCUAAUUUUGUGUAAGAAAUUCUCUGUGAUAAUUCUGCAAUUUUCUGUGAAAGAAAUGAUAAUGAUAGUUAUUUCCUGUUCUCCUUUAACCUGAACAGUCUUUGCCCAGAAAAGUAGCAACUAGACAACAUCUUGAAUGUAAUCUUGCCCACAGCAAAGUCACAUAUUCUUUUCUUGCUGCAGAUACAGAUGAAAUCCAAACUACUAUAGUUACUUUUUAAAAACCUCUUAUGUUAGGCAGAUGUUUAUGUCAUAUAGUUAAGAACAUAAUACAGUCGUGUUUGUGAUGAGGAAAUGAAGCACAGAAGCAUUAAGAAAUUUUCCCAAAGUCUUACAGCCGAAACAUGGAAUGGAGAUUAAACUCAGGCAGUCUGGGUCCAGAAUUUACAUGUUCUAACCUCAUCACCUUUAUAUUAUAAUCUUAAAUGUAACAAAUUAUUUCUCUAGAGUUCACAAUGGAAUGGUGGGUGAGAGUAGAAAAUUAAACUUAGGAAAAGAAUAGUUGUCCUUCAUCAAUAAUUAGGAUGAUUAGAAUUUACUUUUGUUUCAUAUGCAUUAACUUAUUAUAUUUUUAUUCAUGAACUUGCCCCACUCAGUUUUAGAUGACAAAUAUAAAAUUAUUUGUUCCUCAAAGAACUCACAACCAGUAGGCUGCUUAUAUUGUCAUCAGGGCUUUGGCUAAAUGCCUGGUGAGUUAAUACGUAAUUAUUGAUAAGCACGUUUGUUUUUGCUUAAUUAUACAGAAUGCCUAAUGUAGGUGCCCCCAAAUCACUGCAGCAUCCAAAUUCCUAUCUCACAAUGUAAAUACAGUCCAGGAAGUGUGCCUUAGAAAAUGUAGCCAAUUCUUUGAAAAACCACGGAUUUGUUUAUUAUUUGAGAAAAAUGUUCAUCAUUGAGUUUCUUUUUCUCCCAAUAAUAUUAAAUCGUCUUUCUCCACCUCCUUCUUCCCUCUUCUCCCUAUCUCAAUCAUACUCUCAUAUUUCACCACAUUUUAGUUCAUAUCAUUUAUAUUAUGUACCGUGUACCUGCAACUGUACUGAGCAACAUUUUCAUUUCUAAGUGUUUUAAACAUUCUUUUUUCCUACAUAAUCCAAUUUUUAAAAAUUUAAAUUCAGCAUAGAUUAUGGCUUCCAUCUUUCUUGUAAGCAUACUCUUGUUUGAUGAUUUUCCAUCUUUUUAACUUCUCCAGUCGUUCUGUAUCCAGAUCGCAGUCUCCUCUGUCAAUGAUAUCUUUCAUUCCCACAAGGGUUUGAGUAGAGUGGGGGCUGGAAUGAGGCUGAAAGAAGUCAGCUUAUCCACUCUCAGCGGGGAUAUGGGGGUUGUUCAAAGAUUGUUCUUCCAUGGAAGCAUCUGAUUAUGCUUCUGUCCCUUGCCUCCAUCCCUAACUGUGCUGCAAUAACUGACCUAUGACAGCUAAUGAAUCUGGCAUAAGAGAGAAGUUCCAAAGUCAGUGAAACAGAAAUGUGUGAAUUGACCAUUUCAUUGGAUCCUUCCCAGUCACAUUCUGCAUUAUGCUUAUGAUCUAUUGUGUCAGGACUGGUAAUCCUUCCAGUGAUAACUACUGGUCCCCUUUGGUAUCAACUGUAGAGUUACAAAUAACUUCCAACACAACAUUGUAAAGCAACUAUAUU
rnacentral:lncRNA from 1 species